rnacentral:rRNA from 1 species
AACGAACGCUGGCGGCGUGGAUAAGGCAUGCAAGUCGAACGAGAAAGUCACCUUCGGGUGAUGAGUACAGUGGCGAACGGGUGAGUAACACGUGGGCAACUUGCCUCUAGGUGGGGGACAACCUCGGGAAACCGGGGCUAAUACCGCAUAAUGUCGCAGGGACACAUGUCCUUGCGACCAAACGGUGGGGAUCCUUCGGGACCUGCCGCCUAGAGAUGGGCCCGCGGUUGAUUAGCUUGUUGGUGAGGUAACGGCUCACCAAGGCUCUGAUCAAUAGCCGACCUGAGAGGGUGACCGGCCACACUGGGAUUGAGAUACGGCCCAGACUCCUACGGGUGGCUG